ACCAUGUUUUUCUUGAGGUUGCACUACUGUCACAUGAGCGUGUAGUAAGGGCAGUACUGCUACCACUUAUAAAACACCACUAAUAACAUAGAUAAGGUAGGCAGCCAAGUAUAUUGUCUCUGAGACUUGGGACUGCCUUUCUUCUCUGGAAUA
rnacentral:ncRNA from 1 species